GUGGUUUAUGGACAGCCCCUAUGUUGGCAUCAACGCUACGAAAACCCAGCUGGUCAAACGCGCACUGACUGCCUUCCUGACGGUGACGAACGACUCUCCUCGGAAUCUAGCUCAGCCAGCGCAGUGACACAGCUCCGAUGUUCAGUGAAACAUAACCAUCAGGGACGAUCUACCCUACCAGCCAGCAGCAGCACGAAGCAAUAUAAUCAUCAUAAUCGACGGCUGUUUCUGCUGUCGCUUAUGCCAUUACCUCCGGGGGGAGGCUGCUCCCGGCUGGCAUCACCCCCUUCAACACUAGCAGCCGCAUGUCUGUCACCCUCGAUGGGUCCAACAAACGACAUAAAUGGAAGCUGCUAUCAUACACUCAUCUAGUAGUGGUGCUUGGCUGGAUCGUCUCUCAGCUGUCUGGCUGAUUGGCUUCAUCGGAAAGCCCAAAAAGGGGUCUUCGCUUCGGGUCGGUCCUAACUGCCACUGUACUAUAUGGGCUUUCGGGUUUGCGAGCUUGCGGACUGCUACCGAAUCAGUGAGAAUGAUGAGGCCUUUUCAAGCUUCUUGUCUUGAACAUGUAGGGAUGUAGGGAUGAUGGAAUAAACGUGAGAUGAGGGGAGCGAUUGAAACCAGUUUGCAACAAAGUAGAAGUGCGUCUAUAACAGACGAUGAAAGCGAAACUUUGCGGUGAACUUGAACUUGAGUUGUGCUGUCGUUUUGUAUUGCGGAAAGCAAGUGCGGUGAUGGUUAAAAUCCAGUGAACGUAAGGAUUUAACCCUCUCAGGACGGUUGGGUCAUUUGCACCUCGCUGACGCGUUCUACAGCGGCGAGGAUGGUGAAAAAAGUCGUCCCGAAGGAAUUAAAACAGCAAUCUUUCCAGAAAAUCUUCCAUUAAAGGUCGGACUGGAUUAUCCGGAGUCGGGUUCUGAAGCUUCGCAAGCAAAUAUCUGUGGAACGGAAUGUCGUAUUAAGCUGAGAUUUUGACAUUUUGUCAAGCUAAGUUUUAUUAGUAAUUAGUAAAAAUUUCAGCUUUGUACAUUAUUCUGUUUACCAGAUAUAUGUUUGGGAAGAGUCGGGACCUGACUCCGGAUAAUCGAGUCCAACCUGUAUUAUCAUCAGUAAGAACUUUGAGAAGUCCUUGUCUCCAUAUCCAAGUCUCCAGUGUCCAUAAGCUACCUUUAUAGUCUUAACAAAACCCCCUCUCCAGGGAUGCCAUAUAUACAGAUUUAUCUGUAUUAGGUAUACAGGUUUUUUGAGCAUUCGUACAGAUUUCGUUUUGUAUGGGAUUCAGAUUUUUCACUCAAAUUUUGUAUGAGAUACAGUUUUUUUUUAAAUCUGCGAUACAUAUUUUUCAAAAAUCAUCUGGCAUCCCUGCCCCUCUCCCAUUCAAUAUUUUCCGUAGCCUUUGACCAAGCGAUGCCAGAUGAUAUUUUAAAAAAUCUGUGGUUAUCUGCAUUUCUCAAGGAUUUUUUUUUUGUUGGUGCCAACUCAAUUAGGCUGUCCCAAAACAGAAAACCCUUAUUAAUCCACCUAGCGGUUAUGGCGCUUUUCUCGUGCUCUUGAAACCCCAUUUCAACAAAACUCAUGUUGAUGAAUAUAGGACUUUCAUUCGUCUAAAAAAUCCACUUCAUGGCACCGGAAAUUUGAGUUUUGAGCUGCCAUUUUGGAUUUAAGUCCUCUAUCUUGGAAACUCUGGUCGUCAUUUUUUGAAUGUGGUAAUUUUCCCCAGUACAAAUAUACCCAUAUUGCAUUGUUUUAGGUCCUAAAACUCCAUUAAACAGUGCUGUCUUGUAUUUGUAGCAGUCAUCUUGGAUUUUUGACCGCCAUCUUGGAUAUUUGGGUCACCAAUUUUGGACUCCGGACAUCUUCCCCAUACCAAAUAUAUUCGUAUGUCAUUGUUAACUCCAUUAAACAGCCGCUAACUUGAAUUUCGUGCCACCAUCUUGGAUUUUAGCCCGCCAUCUUGGAUAUUCUGGUCGCCAUUUUUGGACUCCAGAUAUCAUCCCCAUAACAGAUAUACCCCUAUUGCAUGAUUUAACCCUUUGAAGCCGGAAUUUUUCCAAGCGCUAUAAUGGAGUUUUUUUUACGUUUUUCUGUAGUUUUGGUGGUCAAUAGCAUAAAAACGGUAGAAUAUUAGGCAGAAUAUUUAUUCUAGAUAUCCUAGGUAUCCAAACUGUUCUUGAGUUCAGAUCCUAAAGUCUACGGGUGUAACGGUAACUUUUAUUAUACAAAGCAACGAUUUGUAAUCUUUCAUGUCCGGUAGGCCUUCUGAAAGGUUAAUAGACAGUAUCAGAUCUGAUGGGAUAUUCUAAAUUAUCCAAACUGUUCUUGAAUUUAGAUUCCAAAGUCUACGGGUGUAAGUUAUUUCAUUUAAAGCUAUGAUUCGUAUUGCUUGAUUGAUUUGUCUUUAUUUUAGAGACUUUCAGCUCUUGGCUAGUUCGUCUUUGAAAAUACGAUUUGUUUCCAUCAUGUCCAGUAAGUCUUCUGAAAGUUAUAGUGGUUGUUUUAUCAACUAAGCUUCAUAACAGUAAGGAAGCCCAUAAUAUUCCAAAAAUAUAUAACAACGCCUAUUGUUUCUCUAACUUCUUUGUAAGUACAGUUGAAUAUGUAACACUAUUUAACGUAGUGGCAAAAGCUAUUAUCACAAGUAUAGACAUGAAACUAUGGUCUCCGGAGUAGUGUUGUUGAUCUGGAAUAUCUCAAAACUACCUUAAAAUUACUCAGAUUACAGGGAAUUACAGAUUACAUUAUAAUGUUCAUUGUGAGGUACCGUAAACCGGGAUCAACCCUGAAUGUCCCAUAGGGUUAUCAUUAGCUAGUAGACUUCAGAUUGCUCCAGUAACUGCGGUUUAUUAUGCAAUGCUACUCAGUAUAGCAGAUAUGGCUACUAUUACGAGUGUAGAUCUGAAGUUCUGAACUUCAAAGUAGUUUGGCUGACCCGGAAUAUCUCUAUAGUGUCUAUGAAUGGUAUUGUAGAUGUCAAGAGCUUCACGGAUCCCAGUAGGUAAUGCAAUGCUAUUAUUUGUGUCGAAAAUACAUAAAAUUAUUCUUGUAGAUUUGAAGGACUUCACUAUAGGAUAGUUUAGAACACCUAGAACAUCCCAGAAUAUAGAACACCGUCAAUAAUGAAGGCUAAAUGAAUACAUAUAAAUGUAUGUAAUCCACAACCAAGUUCAGCUUUUAGAACAACUGGUAUGUAAAUUAUUUAGUUUUUCCAAAUUACAUGGUGUUCAGGAUGUUCUAGGUUAUCAAUGAAGUCCCAAAUACAAAUAUUCACAUUCUUCCCAAAUAGAAGACUCAAUUUGCAACAACUUUGCUGUAGACAGUAUUCUGUUUUAUCGAAUGGGUAAAUUUAUUCAGCCGUUUCCAUGUUGGAGUCAAAGGGUUAAGAGACUAAAACUCCAUUAGCAGCCGCUAUAUUGAAUUUGGAGUCGCCAUCUUGGAUUCUAGACUGCCAUCUUGGAUUUUAGACCGCCAGCUUGUAUAUUUUGGUCACCAUUUUUGGAAUCCGGUCAUCUGCCCCAUAAUGCAAUGUUUUAGGUCCUAUAACUCCAUUAAACAGACUCCAUUUCGAGACACCAACAUUAGUCCACCAUCUUGGAUAUUUUGGGCCGACAUCGUGGAAUUUCUGGUCUCCAGGGUUGAUUUGCAUACAAAAUUUGCCAACCAUGUUAAAGGUUACAAAAAUCGUCGCAGUUUGAUGAUGGGGCAUGUUUUUUGUUCCUUAUACGGCCAGUUAAACCAGUGUUGGUCCAGAUUACUGAAAUGGCCAUAACACCAGAUCGCCUUGACUGAUGUGGACCAUUUUUCAAUAGCAAACAAUGUGGAGAAAAUCCGGUUCGAUUCGAGCUAUUAUCUGGAAAAUCGGCCAAUGGGAAGUGCUUUUAAAGUGCGUAACCUUGUUGAGCACAUACAUACAAACACAUACAUGCACACCUACAGCACGGUGUCUGUAACACCAAACAUUAUCGAAAAAAAAUCAGUAUCGUUAAGUCACCCACCAAAUGAAAGCUAAGAGUGCCCUCUUCCAUUUGAGGCGAAGAGCGAAAUAUUCUAUCGGGGGGUCUAGAACAAGUUUUAUUAUUUUAAUUAGGACAUUUUGCUCUUAACACCAAAUGAAAGCAUAUACCCUUAGCUUAGGGAUACUCUUUUUUUCUAAUAAUAUUCUUUUACUAUAGACACCGUGACAGACAUCAUCUCGAUUUGUCGAACUGAGUUGACACUCCGACCCUUCUAACGAAAAUUCGAUUUUUAUAUGUUCACUUUGAUGUACGAGAAAGGCGAAACGAUACUCUCAACCCUCAACCAUAAAAUAAAAGUAUUUUUGAAGAAGAUUUCAAUUUUAUAAAAAUCCGUUAAGAAGUUCCACCAGGCUGUUUUUUUUUUAAAUGGCCAUUUUUUAUAUAAAUUCUCAAAAAAGUCAUUUUUUGUUAUAUUUUUUUCUACUUCUGAUUUUUUCCAAUAUUUUUAUAAUUUUCUAUGAACUACUAGGCGUUUGUAAAGGGUUUGUAAUUGGUUAUAGAAAUUUUCUGUUUUUUUUUUCUUUUUUUUUUAUUUACGUGUAUUUUAACUUAUGCUAAUUCUACACUUAAAUUUUCUGUUUAUUUCAACAGCGGAACCAUUUUUGUAGUGAUAAAAAGCCUUAUUUUUGAGAUUUUUUUCUCAAAAUUUUCCGAAACAAUGAAUUGUUUCUACUAUGUUUAAGAAUCAGUAAUUCACGCACUUCCACAAAAACUAUUUUUAUUUUUUUUUUCAUUUAUUUAUUAUGAUUUAUUUAGGUUUUUUAAUUGUUUUCAUUACUAUUAUGCCAACUCUAAAUAGAAUGAUCCCUACUUAACAAAAAGGACCGUUGUAGUCGAAGGUUCUACGAAAAACCCUCGAAAAUAAUGUGUUAGUAACCACGAACGUCAUUGUUCGGACACCGAGCAGUCACUAAUUUCUAAAGCCGAACCGCGCUUUUCGGUAAUCAGCUUAAACUGGAAAAAAUAUUAUUAGCUUGAUACGUUAUCACUUAAUGUUAUAUAACAUAUUGUGUGUUCAAUCUCUAAAUUUAGCAAGUGCGAUAGGCACGAACCCCCUCCAUGUGUUGAUAUUUUACUUUUUUCUGUGAUUAUUGUUGAGAGAACAUUCUUGCUUGAAAACCUUUCAUGAGUUCAGCAAGAAUUCUUCGAAAAAUUACAAAAAAAAAAUCUCCACGAUUACUUGCAGUCACUUUACCAGAAAAUCCUCUGGGGAUUCUUCCAGGAUUUAUAAAAAUCUCUUGAAUUUAAACAGGAAGAAAAAUGAUUUGCCAAGAGUUUCUCAAAGAAAUCCUCUAAUUAUCCAUUUUUAAUACACUCCUGUCCAUGCAUUUCUUUGAAAAUUUCCCCAGAGAUAGCCGUAACUCCGAGUAUUCUUCCUAUGUAAUAUUCCUUGGGACUUCUUCAGGAGUUCUCAAGACGUUUAAAAAAAGACAAAGGAGGAACUCCUUCAGAAAUUUCUCCUGGGAUUCCUCUAUCGAAUCGAAAAAGUCCUUCUAGGAUUGCUACAUAAAUUCAUGUUUAUAUUCCUUCACGUACUGCUUCAAACUUUUCUGAUGGGAUUCCUCCAGAAAUAUUGUCAGAUUUUUCUCCAGGAGUUUUUCUUUGGGAUAACUCACAUUUUUUUGUAGAAAUUUCACAAGAAUUUCUUCCGAGAACUUCUUCAGGGAUUGUUGGUCGAAUUUCUCCACAUGUCAGGUAUGCCUCCAUUUUUUCAGGCGUUUAAUCGGGCAUUUACUUAAGAAUCCUCUAGAAAAUUCUCCAGAGAAUCCUCUGGAAGUUCCCAAAGGGAUUUCUCAAAUAGUUCCUCCACAUAUUCCUCCAGGGGUUGAUUAGGAAUUUUUCAAACUUUCCUUCAUUCUCUCCACAAUUCCUGCAGAAACUACUCCACAUUCUAUUCCUAAGCAUUUUUCAAGGAUUUUUUCAAGAAAUUUUUCUUUGGAGUACUAAAGAUGGCUCUCCAGUUCUUUCAAGUAUUCUUCCAAGUGUUCCUUAAAAAAAUAUUUUUUUUUUUAUUUUUUCAGUGGUUUCUAAACAAUUCCUUCAGAUAGUCCUCUAUGUAUUUCCUAGAUCAAAUUGUAUUUAUAUAAAUGUAUUUAGAUCAAAUUAAAAAAAAAUCCCCUUAAAGUUCCCUAAAAUCCGUCGGAAUCACACGGAAACCCUCUGAUCCCGGGAAAUCCCCUUGUAAACUCCCUGAAAGUAAUCUGACAUCUUUCUACACUUCCCUGAAGAUCCCUGGAAGGCAUAAUUAUCCGAUAUCUAACUUUAAACAAAUAAAUCUCCGAAGUCAAUGGACCGAAGGGAAUGAAAUUUUGAGCGUUCAUGACUAAUAUGAUGAAGUUGGAAAAACUUUUGAAUUAACUUGAAAUUGAUAACGCAGAAAAGUAUGACAAUUAGAUAUGGUAAAAAUUUGCUUCGUCACAUGCGCUAAUUCCCGUCACAUCAAAUGGAAAACAGACAAUCAUUCCAGAUGCUCCGACUAACCAUUGUCAAUGCCUCAUUGAAUGGAAGCAAAAAAUGUAAACUAUCGAUAAUCAGCCUCUUAAGCACUGAAAAUCGAAAAAUUACACUGAAUUUAAAGUUUCAAUUGCAGUUGAAUCAACCUUCAACUACCAUUAUUCUAAAGUUACAUGCAUCUCCAUUCAAAACAUUCGGCUCAAUCGUUCUUUGCAUACAUGAUUUGAUUUGGAUUGCGAAGCGUUUGACCGACUUUUCGGUCCUACGGUCAAAUAAUAGUUUUUGAUAAUCCCAUGUGCCAUAGCGUCACGUAGAAGGUGUGCCGAAAAUUGAAUACAGGUUGUGCCCAAAAUAGACGUGGAAGGAAAUAAAAUUCGAGCGACAAUUAUUCAAUUUUAUUAUUUUAAGGAAAUUGCAGUUUUUUACACAAUAUUUUUCCCAUCAUAUGGAAGUUAUUUUAUAAACAAGUACCAAGUACAUAUUUGAUACCAAAUAUGCCACGCGACGUUAGUCAAUGAACAAGAAAAAAAUUGAUCAAUAUUGGGCUGUGCUUAGAUAGACAAAAUUAUAUAAAAACCCUAGAAAAAUUGAUUACAAAUCACCAGCGUACUGCAUGAUUACCAGCUUACAAGGUUCAAAAAUGCUGUAAAAUCGUGUUAUCAGUACAUUAGUUACUGAUUAUAACAGUAAACAAUCCGUGUUUCAAUCCACUCUUCCAGACUCGAGCUCCAGACAGGAAAUUCCGAACUAUGAAUCGAAUUGCAAUACAUCAUCAAACUUUGUUUCGAACCCAACGAACGAACGAUCGCGGGCCACUAUUUUCAUAUUCGACAGCAGGCUUAAAUCCCAAGGAACCCGCAACUUUCAACCGAGCUUGUGCGCCUUGAUUUAUACCCGGCAGCCAUCCACCCAGCCAACCAGCCAACGCCAUCUGUUUCUCACGCUUUCAACCCCAGAGCUCAUUGGGAUGGUACGCGCUAGCUAGCUAGGAAGCACAACAAACUAGGCAGUGAAAAACAACCCCUUCCCGCCAUUUCCAAGCCAUUUUCCCGAUUGGAUGCGCCUCCUGUUGCCUGGUUUUUGUUCGCACAGCAAAACAGCGAAAUGCAAAUAUGGGUGUGUGUGAAUAGAGGGAGCUUCGUUCGCUUCGUCGCGUGUUGCCGAUGCGGCGCGCCAUUGGCAAUAGCGGAGGGAAAACUUUUUCGAAACACAAUUUCCCUUUCGUCUCUCCUGGGUCCUGGGUCCUGGAUAUGGCUCCGCUUGGGGAUUGUGAAAUCCAAUAGUCAUCAUUGCCGCCGGAGCAGGAUGAUAGCUACCUAGCUAGAUAGCUAGUAAACAAGCACCGUCGUGCAAGCAGGUGGUUGAAAGUGAGGUGGGUCGUCGAUGAGAAUUCCCUGAUUUGCCUAGAUAACGUUGCGGUGGUUGAGCUUUUCUGGGAAUAAUGGUUCUUUAUUGAGAAUCUGCGAAUCAUCCUUGAGUAGUAGCUACGUUUCCGGAUGGAUAACGACGACGUUGCAGAUGAGUUUUUGCUUAACUGUGCUGAACUGGUUCUUGACGGAAGAGUGAAUCAGCUGGUUUUACUGCAUUAGCUUUUCAGGAUCAAUCAGAAUUCCUCAAAACUUUAUAAACCACAAUCUAAGGAAGACUUUUUAGAGCAAGCAUUGUCCUGUUUUACACUCUAUUUUGAUGCUUGAUUAGACGAUUUUAGAUUAGACGAUAUUAGACGAAACUGAUGAUCAAAACAAACUUGAAGAAAUACUCAAAAAUUGUAAACACAAACACUAAUGUAAAACACCCUGACACACACAAUGACGUUGAAAUGAAAUAUGAAAAGCAAUGGUGGAAGACAGCAAAACAUUGUGCCCGAAUUCGACCAGCGCAGAAUAUUGCGGAUUAUCCGACGCACAAACCGUCAAACUUAGUCGGACCAAGUCGAAGUGAGUACACUGAGAAAAACGUGACCACGAAAAUCUAGAAUUAACUAUUGACUCUUCUAGAAACAGACCAUUUUUUCAUAUGACAUUUUCACGUUAUACAAAACCAAUCUUGACGAAAAAACAGUAGCAAAUCGAACCCUUGAAAAAGAUCCCAAACGGAUCGAAACGUCGGGAAAGAUUUAAACAA